AUGAAGGCCUUCGGGUCGUAAAGCUCUUUCGCCAGGGAUGAUCAUGACAGUACCUGGUAAAGAAACCCCGGCUAACUCCGUGCCAGCAGCCGCGGUAAUACGGAGGGGGUUAGCGUUGUUCGGAACUACUCGGGCGUAAAGCGCACGUAGGCGGAUCAGAAAGUAUAGGGUGAAAUCCCAGGGCUCAACCCUGGAACUGCCUCGUAAACUCCUGAUCUUGAGUUCGAGAGAGGUGAGUGGAAUUCCGAGUGUAGAGGUGAAAUUCGUAGAUAUUCGGAGGAACACCAGUGGCGAAGGCGGCUCACUGGCUCGAUACUGACGCUGAGGUGCGAAAGUGUGGGGAGCAAACAGGAUUAGAUACCCUGGUAGUCCACACCGUAAACGAUGAAUGCCAGUCGUCGGAUAGCAUGCUAUUCGGUGACACACCUAACGGAUUAAGCAUUUCCGCCUGGGGAGUACGGUCGCAAGAUUAAAACUCACA
rnacentral:rRNA from 1 species